AAGUAAACAAAGCUGGGACAUAGAAGCAGAACCGAGUCGUAUGUGUGGACGGACAGUAACUAUGUGUAUAUGUAAGCAUUUAAACACUGCAGAGAGUAGAAUUAACAGUAACAGUAUUGUAGAAAUUCAUUUCACCGAAACAAUAACGUGGCGCACAGUGUGACGCAUGCACCAGUUUAUUGUAUUUCCAGACUUGCUUUCGGCACAAUUUACAGUGCACGCUACUCUGUUUUUUGUCAGACUUGAAAUAGCCGAAAUACCUUCACACUACGGAACUUCUAUGGCUCUUCCGUUCGACAAUCUCUCCGGCAUUGGAACCAUCAUCUGUUUUCUCUUCGGUCACGCUCGGUUGAUUUUUCUAGUCGGCACACUCAUUUCCUCCAUUACCCGCUGGCUGCUUCCCAAACAAACACACGUGCGGCUUGGCACUUGUGCUGUACGUAACAAGUCACGCGACGUGACGCUGCGGCUGUGAUUUGUUCGGCUCUGCGCUACUCAAUUUGGAUUGGCUGACCUUUUUUUUUUUUUUUUUUUUUUUUGAGGACAAGAGCGGCGAGGUCUAUCGCGAUAGCUUAAUUUCUCUAUCGAGUAAAAGUUAUAUCGCGAUACAUAUCGUUAUCGUUCUAUCGCCCAGCUCUAAAAGACCAUCGUACGAACAAAGGUAAGUUUACCAGUCUCACAAAUCGUCGUCAUAAAUACACAUUCGUUAACCGUUUAUUAAUAGGACCUUUGAGCUCAACGGUAAUUAAUUAGUAGUGGAAAUAAUUUCUGGUAGCAUCACAGAAAUGUAGCAGUGACAAUAAUAUUGUAUGCUGUAAUCGUACUGGACAAUUAGUGAUACAAAACAACAGUUUUAUCCUGUGAAUAAAAGUAUAUGUUUUUGUCAAUGUACCAUAAUAACAGAAGCGAAACGCAAUAUUGUGUCAGGACAAUUUACUAUUUAUGCACAAUAAAUAAAGGAGCAUAGCGCAACCAUUUCUGUUCAGCGCCAGACUUGUAACCUAUAUCACCAAUUAUGUUAAGAAAAAGGACGUAUUAACUAC
ensembl:lncRNA